rnacentral:rRNA from 1 species
CAGCCGCCGCGGUAAUACAGAGGGUGCAAGCGUUAAUCGGAAUUACUGGGCGUAAAGCGCGCGUAGGUGGUUUGUUAAGUUGGAUGUGAAAUCCCCGGGCUCAACCUGGGAACUGCAUCCAAAACUGGCAGGCUAGAGUAGGGCAGAGGGUGGUGGAAUUUCCUGUGUAGCGGUGAAAUGCGUAGAUAUAGGAAGGAACACCAGUGGCGAAGGCGACCACCUGGGCUCAUACUGACACUGAGGUGCGAAAGCGUGGGGAGCAAACAGGAUUAGAUACCCCGGUAGUCCCUGUCUCUUAUAC